rnacentral:lncRNA from 10 species
CUUUGCCUUUGUAUAUCUUUAGUUCACUUGUUGUAAACAAGAGUCUAUCCCUUUCUUUUUGUGUGUUUGUUUUGAGACAGGAUCUCAUUCUGUUGCCCAGGCUGGAGUGCAGUGCUGUGGUGUGAUCACAGCUCAGUGAAGCCUCGACCUCCCCGGCUCAACAGAUCCUCCCAUCUCAGUCUCAAAAGUGGCCUAGAUGCUGGCAAGAGUGGAUUUCCGGAAUUGGUCACAAUCAGGAAUAUAUUUUUGGAAUCCAGAGAGGCAUAGGGUCUCACUGUUUGACUGUUUGACCCAGGCUGGUCUCGAACUUCUGGUCUCAAGAGAUCCUCCUGUCUCAGCAUCUCAAGUAGCAAGGAUUACAGGUGCAUGCCAUCAUGCCCAGCAAGUCUGCAUUUCUAACAAGCUCUCAAGGGAUACCAAUGAUGCUGGUCUAGGAACCACUCUUUGAGGAACAAGGCAUUAGAGAAUUAGUUCAUUCACAUAGUUGCAAACUUUUUUCCUUUUAUAAGAAGUAUUUGUGAUUAAAAUUUGAUGGAGUUGUGAUUUGGCCUCUGGAAUUUUCUCUAAAUAUGAAAGAGACUCCCGUCGUGCCUCCAUAGCAGAUGAGCUCAUUUCAUGUGCAAAGCAAAACACAGCCACAUUCAAGUAAAUGUUUAUACUUUCAUACACUGAAUUUACAAUGUCAUAUUUUAGAGUAGCACAAAAAUUGCAAGUGAGGAUUCCUAUGGUUAUGGGGGACUACAGUAUAUGUGACUGAGAUUUAUUUCUUCUAACCUCUUUAUUAGACAGGGGUAGACUUACUUCAAUAGAAACAGCUGUCGGAGGCACAGGCGUGUACUGAGGAAUGUAGGUCCCUUGCAUAGGAGCAGCAGCAGUCAUAUACUAGAGAGAAUCAAAGAAAAAUGCAUGUGAACUUUGAGCUGCAACCAGUGAGAAAAUUAUUAAAUACCACAGGAGACUGCUUUAGCUAUGGGGCCCAUAGCCAGUGUGUAUUUUUUCCCAGCUCAAUUUUCACUAAAAAUAAGGCAGCUCCUCUCUGUAUUGAAAGGCCUUUGCUUGCUGAUUAAGUACCCACAGUAGCCCUACCUCUUA